UCAGAAGAUGUUGGAUCCUAGAUGUAGAGUUACAGGCUAUCAUGAUCCACUUCAGCUGGAUGUUGGGACUGAACCCAGGACCACUGGAAGCUCCAGAAUUGCUGAAUGUUUUAAGGGGAGGUGAAACACUACACCCUCUAGGCAAAGUCCUUAAAACUCAGGAAGCAGACAUCGUAAAACCUUUGCUGAAACCGACAAGAUUCACUAGGCCCUCCCUCCCCAGGCUGAUAUGAGCAGAAUGGGCUGCUGAGACACACAGACUGACUAGGCUGCCUGCUUCUGGAAUAAGACAUGCUUCAGCCUGGACUCUAUUAAAACCUUAGCUUGACCUGGAAUAAACGGCAUGAUGACUGGGAGGCAGGGGGAGAUAAAGGUGCCUGUCACCAAGCCUGGAGACCUGAGUUCCAUCUCUGGGACCUGAGAGGUGGGAGGAGAGGACUGUAUUCUAUGUUCCCAUGACAACCUCUUGGACAAUGGUGCUCUUGUUGGGCACUGAUAGGAAUAUAUACUAGGAAGGCACAGAUUGGAGCCCUAGAGACCUCUGUCCUCUUCAGUCCCUGCCACCAAGCCUCCUGUUGCCAUGCUUCCCUGCCACGACAGAACCAUGUACUUAAAUAAUCUUCUUUAAGUUGCCAUGUUCUUGGUGGUUUAUCAUAGUGACAGGUCAGGGAAACUGGUCGUACAAACUUCUGGGUAAUUUGAACGACAUGGACAGGUGUGAAGGGAAACAACUCAUGUCUAUGUCUAGUGGGAGGUACAAAUUAAUAAGAACUUUCUCAAAAGUAUAUGGAACCAAGAGCUCCCGGCUUGCUAGCUUCACUCGGAGAAUCCAUCCCAAGAAUAUUACCAGUUGGUCAUGACGUCUAACAAUAAUGUCUACAGGAUGUCUUAGCUUCCUGCUUGCGGUUCCAGAGAUAAGUCCUCAGCUUCUACUUAUGGAUAGGUAA
rnacentral:lncRNA from 1 species